AUUGCCACUUCUCGACUCACGCCACAAGAAACCUGGACAACCCACUAAGCUUCGUUUGUCUGGUGUGUACAUAAUAGCAAGCUGCCAUGGUGGAAGGAUCUGUGUGGCAAGGAACUAGGGCAACUUCUGGCUAAAAGUCAGUAAAGACCCUCAACCCAACAGCCUGUGGGGGGACGACUUCUGCCAAAACCACGGACCAUUCAGUGAAUAAAACCCACAGAAUUCUCUGACCUUGUGGACCCUACAUCCUACUGGAGGAGAAAAGGUAU